GACAGGCUUGUUGAUUUUUACAUAAAGAAUUAGGUCUUUGCCUAAACACUUGAAGCUGCCAGAUAGAGAAUAUUUUCUGUGUUUUCUACGUUUAAUUUCAGGACCCCUAGAUGGGAUCAUAAACUAGACUUUAAGAAACUGUGUCCCCAGUGGUUUCCUGUCUGAGCUUCCCUGUUAGCUGGUGCCGCCGAUAUCACCACUACACCCAGCCAGAGGCAGUUCUUACCGAGUAAGCACUGCUCUUUAAGGAGCAUUGUAGACAUUUGUAUGAGAGGGCCUUGUAGGUGGGGUCUAAGAUAGCAUUCUGGAAGACACAGUGAAGAAUUACCUUGCCAUCUCACUAAACUUGAAAAUGUCCUACAAACUCACAUAGGAGGAAAAUAAAAUUAGUGUAUAGUCCAAUACUAGGAAUUAAAUUUUUCUUAUUUGAAGUUUUUUUUUUUAUUUAUUUUUUAAAAAAGUUUUUGACCUUAAUUUGCCAUUUGAGAAAAAUCAACAUCACCAACAUAUCCCAAUAUAAUGUUUGUCUUAAAAAGUCUGAAUAUGUAACUCUCAUGUUUAUGAGGCCACAU
rnacentral:lncRNA from 1 species